GGUGUGUUGUGUCUGUGAGAGAACACAGGUAGUCGGUGUGUUGUGAGAGAACACAGGUAGUAGGUGUGUUGUGAGAGAACACAGGUAGUAGGUGUGUUGUGAGAGAACACAGGUAGUAGGUGUGUUGUAAGAUAACACAGGUAGUAGGUGUGUUGUGAGAGAACACAGGUAGUAGGUGUGUUGUGUCUGUGAGAGAACACAGGUAGUCGGUGUGUUGUGAGAGAACACAGGUAGUCGGUGUGUUGUGAGAGAACACAGGUAGUCGGUGUGUUGUGAGA